AUUGAACGCUGGCGGCAGGCUUAACACAUGCAAGUCGAGCGAGCGGCGGACGGGUGAGUAAUGUCUGUGAAACUGCCUGAUGGAUGGGGAUAACUACUGGCAACGGUAGCUAAUACCGCAUACCAUCAGAUGUACCCAGAUGGGAUUAGCUUGUAGGUGGGGUAAUGGCUCACAUAGGCGACGAUCCCUAGCUGGUCUGAGAGGAUGACCAGCCACACUGGAACUGAGACACGGCCCAGACUCCUACGGGAGGCAGCAGUGGGGAAUAUUGCACAAUGGGCGCAAGCCUGAUGCAGCCAGGCCGCGUGUGUGAAGAAGGCCUUCGGGUUGUAAAGCACUUUCAGCGAGGAGGCGUUACCGGCAGAAGAAGCACCGGCUAACUCCGUGCCAGCAGCCGCGGUAAUAC
rnacentral:rRNA from 1 species